CCCUCAGAAGCAAGCAGGAGUGGCCAUACUCAUAUCGAAUAAAAUCAAUUUCAAACCUAAGUUAAUCAAAAGGGAUAAAGAAGGACACUAUAUAAUGUUAAAAGGAACCAUCCGCCAUCAAGAGAUAACAAUUAUCAAUUUCUAUGCACCAAACAAUGGUGCUGCAACCUUCAUAAAACAAACUCUCCUCAAGUUCAAGAGUCAAAUUGACCACAACACAAUAAUUAUGGGGGACUUCAACACACUGCUCUCGCCAUUGGACAGAUCCUCUAGACAGAAGCUGAACAAAGAAAUUAAAAAACUCAAUAAUGCAAUCAAUAACCUAGACUUAACCGACAUAUAUAGAAUAUAUCAACCAUCCUCAAGUGGAUACACGUUCUUCUCAGCAGCACAUGG
rnacentral:lncRNA from 1 species